UACAGAGGCCUCGAGCGUUGUUCGGAAUUACUGGGCGUAAAGGGAAUGUAGGCGGUGACGUAAGUCAGAUGUGAAAGCCCUGGGCUUAACCCGGGAAGUGCAUUUGAUACUGCGUUGCUCGAGUGCGAGAGAGGAAAGUGGAAUUUCCAGUGUAGGGGUGAAAUCCGUAGAUAUUGGAAGGAAUACCGAUGGCGAAGGCAACUUUCUGGCUCGUAACUGACGCUGAGAUUCUAAAGCAUGGGGAGCAAACAGG
rnacentral:rRNA from 1 species